ensembl:lncRNA
GCAAAAUCCAGAACCAUAUUUUCUGGUAACCAUUCAUUAACAUCAAAUAAAAUUAAGAAUUAAGUUCCUCAGUUGCACUAGCCACAUGCCAAGGGUUCAAUAACUAUGUGUGGCUUCUGGCUACCAUAUUGGUCAACACAGACUUAUAGAGCUUUUCUAUUCUUAUAGAAAGUUCUAUUAAAGAGAGCUAUUCUGGACAGAGGAAAAAAAUCAAUGGCUGGUCUAUGGAGAUGAGAUAGAUGGGGGAGACAAGGAAGUCAUCGGUGCCAGCAGGAGGACCAAUAUCCAAAAUGUGGAAGAAUGCCCAAGAACUGAAUGGGAUAAUUUACUUCAAUGAGAUUAUACAUAUAUGGUUACAUGCCGACCAUGAUGGUGCCUGUAAUUAGUACACUUUAUCACCAAGAUGUUUAUUUUUUAAAAUGGAACAAGAAUAUGCUGCAUGACCAUGAAUACUAAUAAAACCCCAAUGACAAUCUGUGCUGUCUCAUCAUCAAAUGAUCAUAUAAAAUGCUUUACAAUGCCCCUUGGAUUAUCUAUUUAAACAAUAUGCAUGAUCCAUUCUGAAGGAUUACCAUUGAUUGUCAAAGUAAAUUCAAAAUUAUGAUUUUAAAACAAUCAGGAACUGACAGAAAAGUUG